GCGCUUGCUUCGGCAGCACAUAUUCUAAAAACGGAAUACCACAGAGAAGAUUAGCAUGGGCCCUGGCAGGGAAGACAUGCAAAUUCAUGAAGGUCCCAUAUUAAC
rnacentral:snRNA from 1 species